rnacentral:rRNA from 1 species
GACGAACGCGGCGGCGUGCCUAAUACAUGCAAGUAGAACGCUGAAGGAGGAGCUUGCUUCUCUGGAUGAGUUGCGAACGGGUGAGUAACGCGUAGGUAACCUGCCUGGUAGCGGGGGAUAACUAUUGGAAACGAUAGCUAAUACCGCAUAAUAGCAGUUGUUGCAUGAUAACUGUUUGAAAGGUGCAAUUGCACCACUACCAGAUGGACCUGCGUUGUAUUAGCUAGUUGGUGGGGUAACGGCUCACCAAGGCGACGAUACAUAGCCGACCUGAGAGGGUGAUCGGCCACACUGGGACUGAGACACGGCCCAGACUCCUACGGGAGGCAGCAGUAGGGAAUCUUCGGCAAUGGACGGAAGUCUGACCGAGCAACGCCGCGUGAGUGAAGAAGGUUUUCGGAUCGUAAAGCUCUGUUGUAAGAGAAGAAACGAGUGUGAGAAGUGGAAAG